CCUACGGGAGGCAGCAGUGGGGGAUAUUGCACAAUGGGCGAAAGCCUGAUGCAGCGACGCCGCGUGAGGGAAGACGGUCUUCGGAUUGUAAACCUCUGUCGUUGGGGAAGAAAAUGACGGUACCCAAAGAGGAAGCUCCGGCUAACUACGUGCCAGCAGCCGCGGUAAUACGGAGGAUGCGAGCGUUAUCCGGAUUUAUUGGGUUUAAAGGGUGCGUAGGCGGGAUGCCAAGUCAGCGGUAAAAAUGCGGUGCUCAACGCCGUCGAGCCGUUGAAACUGGCGUUCUUGAGUGGGCGAGAAGUAUGCGGAAUGCGUGGUGUAGCGGUGAAAUGCAUAGAUAUAACGCAGAACUCCGAUGGCGAAGGCAGCAUACCGGCGCCCUACUGACGCUGAGGCACGAAAGCGUGGGUAGCGAACAGGAUUAGAUACCCCUGUAGUC
rnacentral:rRNA from 1 species